rnacentral:lncRNA from 10 species
AUUACAGGCAUGAGCCGCUGUGCUUGGCCCCACAUAUGCUAUUUCUAAAUCACAUCUCCUCUUUGUUUACUACAUGUGGAGCAGACUUUAAAUCACUGCUCGACGAAGUCAAUGAUGUUCACAUACGUAGAAGUUUCUCAAUGCUGCCUGCUUUAUAUUCAGAUUAUGUUGAUUUUCCUCCAAAUGACAAAUCUGAAUUACAGAUAAUUUAGUAAUUGGUGUUUAAUACUUACAAAUACGUAAAGCAACAAACUGGAAUAAAACCAAGGGAUGCUUUGUGGAAGUACUUGAGAAUGUUGAAGUCCAACUGAUUUCUAAUUAGCAUUACUUUCCCAUGUAAAUGCACGCCCCUCCAAUCCCUAACUUAGCACAUCCUUCGCUCCAGCUACGACUCAAUCGCUGCACAUCCCAUCUCAUCCAAACCUUUGAGCUGCAUCACUUCCCACUUGUGCCUGUGGCCACUGCAGUCUGAUUCUGACUCUAGGAAUCACAGCAGGUGACAGCAGAGAGCUCCUCAUUGUCAAGUCCAAGUGGACUUUCCAGGCCUCCCUCACUGGGCCCUCCUGCUGCAUUUCCAGUGCAGAUGCUGCCUCCUUCCUGGAGCCCCUGCUCCUCCAGCCAUGGCACAGUCUCCUCAGAUUGCCCUGCCUGUGCCUCCUCCCUCCUGGGUCACAUGUGACCUUACUGUGUCUUUACCUCUGGACUCCCACUAGACUCAGCUCCACAUCGCUCCUGGUCACUGAAACCUAGCACUGUGGUGGUGGGUGACUAUCCCUAACAUUCCAAAUCAUUCCUGAGUGACAACACUGUGUGGAUAUUUCAGAGAUUAACUCAAUCUUCAUGACUCUAUGAAAUAAAAACUACAAUCUUCAUUUCAUAGAUGAGGAAAUGGAUCAGAAUAUAAGCCCCAUGAGGACAGGGACUUUGUUGUCCUGUUACAUGAUGAUCUCAACAGGACCUGGAACGGUGGCUGGCCAUGAAUGCAAAAUUGAAACCUCAGCCAGUCUGACUCCCAUCCCAGGGCACUCAAACAUCAGCUGCGACUGCCCCUGCGAGUCCUUCGGAGGCUCCUUUCCCUCUGGUACCUCUUAAAUGCCCACACCUUACAGCAGAGCAAAGUAAGGCCCAGAAGAGGUGUGUGGCCCAAGGUCACAUUGCUAACAUGUGGCACACUCAGACUACAAUGCAGACUUGACAACCUCCAGUCCACUCUACCAGACUGACAAAUGCACAGGGAUGUUGAUGUCUUUUCAAAGAUAACUCCGCUAAAUGGUAGUACCUGUAGUCUGUGAUGCAGACGUGGCUGAUAACUUAACAAAUGUCUUCGUGUCUGCGGCUCAGCUGUGCUGUUGUCCCAGGUGCCCCACCUUGGCUGGCAUAUCUCCCAGGCCAGCACUCUUGUGACUCUGCCCCCUACAUGCUGGGGAGUCUCUAUCUCUCUCUGGGACAGCCAACCACCUGUCAGACAACAUCAUCUGUCAAUCUCCUAAUCUUCAAACUCUACAUGUCAAAACAGAAGUCGUUUUCCCACUAAACCUAAACCAGCACCUUCUGAAUUCCUUUUAUGAGAUGAUGGCCCCACUCUUCACCCUACUGCCCAACGCAGGAACUGCAGAAAUCCAUCUUGACCCUUCUUCUCCCCAUACAGGGGAGCGUGAUGUUUCAGAGCAAAGGCUCUGAAGAAAACAGCUCCAUUCACGAGAGAAAGCAGUACUAAUUUUAACCAUAGAAGUACAAGACAUAUUCUGAUAUUAUACAACAUUGCUGAGAGAAAUUAAAGAUCAAAAUAAAUGGAGAGGCAUUCCAUGUUUAUAAAUCGGAAGACCCAAUACUGUUAAGAUGGCAGUUCUUCCUUGACUCAUCUAUAGAUUCAAAACAUUCCCUAUGGAAACCCCAGCAGGCCUUUUUGCAAAAACUGACAACCAGACCUUGUAAGUUAUACAGAAAUGCAGAGGACCCAGAUUAGCCAAAAUAAUGUCAAAAAGAAUGGAGAAUGUAUACGUCCCAAUUUCAAAAUUUAAAUAACUCUUACAUAUAUGUUCAGUUGAUUUUUGACAGGGACACAGUGGGGAAAAGCAGUCCUUUUAACACAUGGUGCUAAGACCACUGAAUAUCCAUAGGAAUUUAGAUCUUUACCUCAUACCAUAUAUAAAAAUUAAUUUAAAACAGCUCACAGGCCCAAAUUUAAGAGCUAAAACUAUAAAACUUCCAGAACAAAACAUAGGAGAAAAUCUUUGUGACCUUUAGUUAAGCAGAGAGAGAUACAGUACUAAAAGCAUAACUCGUAUAAGGAAACUAAUACAUUAGGCUUCAUUAAAAUUAAAAACAAGUGCAUUUCAAAAGACACCAUUAGGAAAAGAUAAGCCACAGACUGGGAGAAAAUAUUUGCAAAUCAUGUCUUAAAAGGACUUGUAUCCAGAAUAUAUUAAGAACUCUUACUAUUUAAUAAGAAAAAAAACCCAACUGAAAAGUGAGCAAAAGAUUUAAAUAGACAUUUCACCAAAGGUAUAUAAACGGCCCAUAAGCACAUGAAAAAUGCUCAUCAUUAGCUAUCAAGGAAAUGUAAAUCAAAGCCACAAUGAGUUACCACUUCACAUCCACAAGGAUGGCUAUAAUUUUAAAAGACACAUAAUCACAAGUGUUGGUGAGGACGUGGAGAUAUCAGAACCCUCCUACAUUGCUGGUGCAAAUGUAAAAUGGUGCAGCUUCUUUGGAAAACAGUCUGGCAAUUUCCUAAAAAGUUAAACAUAUGUCUGCACAAACACUUGUACACAAAUGGUCACAGCAGCAUGAAAACAAUCUACAUGUCUAUCAACUGGUGAAUGAACAAACAAAAUCUGACACAGCCAUACAAUGGAACAGCAUUCAGCCCAGCAAUAAAAAGGAAAGCAAUUACUGAUAGAUGCCACUACAGGGAGGAACUUCAGAAACAUUACUGAGUGAAAGAAGCCAGACACAAAAGACCAUGUCUGAUUCCAUUUAUAGGAAAUGUUCAGAAAUGGCAAACCUGAAGGACAGAAAGCCGAUCAGUUGCUGUGUGGAAAUGGAAAUGGGGCUUAAUUGCAAACUGGAAUAAGAUUUUUUUUUUUUUUGAGUUGUUCUAACAUUGGUUGUGAUAGUUGCACAACUCUAUAAACUUACUGAACAACCAUCUAAGUAUAAACCUAAAAUGGGUAAAUUUUGUGGCAGGUAAAUUGUAUCUCCUUAAAACUGUUAGGGGAGAGAGGGAGGCACAGGCUCUUCAUUCAGAGUACCAGGGUCCCAGUCCUCGCCCUUUUACUUAUCCACUCUGUCGCUUGGGGCAAGUUAAACUUUGUGCCUUAGUUUUCUCGUCUGUAAACUGGCAAUUAUAGUAGUACAUACUUCGUUAUUGUGAGGAUUAAAUCGGUUAAUACCAGUAAAACGUCUAGCAGAGUGCCAAACACACAGCAAGCAUUCAGUGUUAGCUGUUGUCUCAUUAUGACCAUUCGGAUUACACGCAUCCAGUUGUCUUGCCAGUUUCCCUUGGUAAUUAGUUCUCAAUCACCUUUUCUUCAUACCUUCUUCCCUGGCCUUAAGCUCUGUGCCACCUUUUAGAUGAAAGGCUUGUCCUGUCUCCCUCACUGCCCCCAGGCCUGUUCCCUCACAUUUCACUUCCACAGCAUGGAGGGACCACACCAGGUCAAAACCAACUACAGGAUCAAGUUCAACUGCACACAACUCCCUCCACCAUCCUGUCUCUGUGGAGCCCGUCACCCCUGUCCACCCCCAUGCCUACCCCACAUACACAUCACAGUGGCAAAUUUCCUCACACAUCCCAUGCAGCUGCUCUUGCCAUCGGUCCCCUCUGCAGAAUGCCCUGCUCUCUCCCCCUCUUGUCUUUCUAUAUGCUUGUCCUGUCAGGCUCAGCUGAGACAAAUCCUUCAUAAGACUUCCCUGAACCUCUUGGGCUGGGAUCACUAGUUGGCCUUUAUAUUUGUCCAUAAUAUGCCUGUAAUAGCCUGGGCAUAUCUCCAACACUGAUUGACAGAUUACAAAACACACUGUCAGAUUAGAACACACAUCUCACAUCUGGAAGCAUGAAUCCAGCACAAUGCAGGUGCUCGACAGAAUGUUAGCUGGCCAAAUGAAGGACCAGACAGGCAGCGCUUUCUCAGCUCCUCAUAUACUGAAAAUGCUCACAGACUUCCAAACAGCUUAGGACUUUGUCUAGGAACAUGGAAAUCUUAGGGAGACUCUCCCUCUGUUGAGGAGCACUGCAAGCAGCACCUGAGUGGAAGGACAGGGCCUGCCGUCUUCCGUUUGAUGCCGUAACUGUCAGCAGUUCAGGAGCAUUUGCAGAGAUGGCUGGUAAUGUUAAUUUUGCUGGUGGAAUAUUUCCUAACUUGCCCAACAUCCGAGUUUCUAAACUCUGAAACUCUUGAUUAAGAAUCUUUGAGAUAUCUCAUAGCGGGAAUAUAAGACAAUCAACUUCAGAGGGAUGUAACAGCUUAAUGACUGAACUUUAAAUUAUGGGGGAAAAUACAAUAAUCUGAUGUCUGGGUUCCAUCCAAGAUAUUCUGAUUUAAGUGGUCUGGGAUAUAACCUAUGCAGAAAAUUUUUUUAAAGUUCACUCAGUAAUUCUAAAGAAUUAUAGUGACCCAGCAAGGGUCAAGAUCUGCUCUUAUAUUAGUUCCUCUGUCAUUUUCUCAUGUAUAAAUGGUAGCAGUUAUGCUUAGAUUUAUGGAUAACUGAAAGUCCUUCUGAAAAUAAAAUGCAUAAAUGUUAAUCAGAUUCCUUUUUCCUAUUCUCACGACUUUGGGUCAUCUUAAAAGUUUGGGCUGGGCACAGUGGCUCACACCUGUAAUCCCAGCACUUUGGGAGGCCGAGGCAGGUGGAUCACUUGAGGUCAGGAGUUUGAGACCAGCCUGGCCAACAUGGUGAAACCCUGUCUCUACUAAAAAUACAAAAAAAAAAAAAAAAAAAAAAAAAGCCAGGUGUGGUGGUGGGCACCUUUAAUCCCAGCUACCUGGGAGGCUGAGACAGGAGAAUCGCUUGAACUUGGGAGGCAGAGGCUGCAGUGAGCUGAGAUCUCCCCACUGUACUCCAGUCUGGGUGAGAGAGUGAAACCCCAUCUCAAAAAAAAAAAAAAAAAAAAAAAGUUUCACUUCUUAAAAUCCACUUGGCCAAAAAGCAUUAAUACCCACAUUAGAUACAGACAUUUAAAAUCCAUUAAAGAACAAUUUAAAAGACAAAAAAUAAAAGAAAUCCUAAAACCAUAACCAAGAAUAAUCUCCAAUCCAGAAGAUGAAGCUGCAGGUCCUCCGUGAAGAGAUCCUACUCGUAGACAUGGCAUGCUUUUCUCGCACCAUGACAGUGAAGAGAAAGGGGUUUCAGCACCAUGCUGACCAGGUGUCUGUUCUUGUGCUUGCAUCCUAAGGGAACCCGAGGGAGAGACCUGAAGUGACUGCAACUAUGAAAGUCUACUUGAGAGUCCCACUGAGUAUGGCGAAAUUUGUAAAUUUCGGCAUCUUCUUCCGAAAUGGAAUCUUCUUAAAAUGGAAAAAGAAAGUUGAAACAAUCGCAUCCUAUAAACAUGUAUUUUUCUGCUCCAGAGCUGUCCUCUUGGUUGAAUCUCUUUUCACUUUUUUGAGACGGAGUCUUGCUCUGUUGCCAGGCUGGAGUGCAGUGGCGUGAUGUCGGCUCACCGCAACCUCUGACUCCCUGGUUCAAGCGAUUCUCCUGCCUCAGCCUCCCGAGUAGCUGGGAUUACAGGCACAUGCCACUACGCCU